AGCUACAGACAUUCUAUGCUACAGAUAGCGAGAUCUUGUCUGAUUUCAGAAGCUAAGCAGGGUCAGACCCGCUUAGGACUUGGAUGGGAGACUACCUGGGAAUACAAGGUGCUUUAGUGC
ensembl:rRNA 5S_rRNA 5S ribosomal RNA